rnacentral:rRNA from 1 species
AUGGCCUACGGGACGCAGCAGUGGGGAAUAUUGCACAAUGGGGGAAACCCUGAUGCAGCGACGCCGCGUGAGCGAAGAAGUAUUUCGGUAUGUAAAGCUCUAUCAGCAGGGAAGAAAAAUGACGGUACCUGAGUAAGAAGCACCGGCUAAAUACGUGCCAGCAGCCGCGGUAAUACGUAUGGUGCAAGCGUUAUCCGGAUUUACUGGGUGUAAAGGGAGCGUAGACGGCAGAGAAAGUCUGAAGUGAAAGCCCGCGGCUCACCCGCGGGACUGCUUUGG